AUACGAAGGGGGCUAGCGUUGCUCGGGAAUGACUGGGCGUAAAGGGCGUGUAGGCGGGUUUACACAGUCAGAUGUGAAAUCCCCGGGCUUAACCUGGGAGCUGCAUUUGAGACGUCAAGACUAGAGUGUGAGAGAGGGUUGUGGAAUUCCCAGUGUAGAGGUGAAAUUCGUAGAUAUUGGGAAGAACACCGGUGGCGAAGGCGGCAACCUGGCUCAUUACUGACGCUGAGGCGCGAAAGCGUGGGGAGC
rnacentral:rRNA from 1 species